CGGGGUGUAGCGCAGAUGGGAGCGCGUAUGCUUCGGGAGCAUAAGGACGCAAGUUCGAGCCUUGUCACCCCGACCA
rnacentral:tRNA from 1 species